rnacentral:tRNA from 2 species
GGCGAGAUGUGUGAGUGGUCUAAACAGCUGUCUUAAGGCGGCAGUCCGUAAGGGCGUGGGUUCGAAUCCCACUCUCGUCA